rnacentral:lncRNA from 1 species
ACAUCAUUAAUUUAUUGAAGUAUGAGUAAAAACAAAGACAAACACUUGCACACAUUUUGAGAACUAACUACUCCUCUGGUUUGUGUUAUUCGUUUGUUAGCUGAUUCGUUCACCACGAUGACAGAGUAUGCUAUUGUUCUUUUAAAAGAGGAAAAAAUAUGAGUCAACAAAGGAUGGGUUUGACUUGUUGGUAUUUUCCAUCCACUUAUAAGCGCCGCAUUGUAUGAGACAGGCAACUAUGACCCGCAUUCAUCCACACCUCUAGUUCCUCACUUUUCUCGUGUCUUCUAUUACGUGCUGUUGACCUUAUAACACUGAAUUAAUCCAAAUUCCUAUUAUUAUAAGCAUUAGACUCAAGGAUUAGUAAUGAGAGGAUACUAUUCAGAGUAGGUAUGUAUUGAUAUCAACUCCUUCUUCACCUCUAAUUAUUCUACUGGCCACUAUUAAUAACUUAAUGCCUUUGUCAACUUAACCC